AAGCCAGAGCAGGAGCGACUGGAGGUCAGGCGCUCCACUGGUCGUGUUUCUGCGCUCUAUGUGAGCAGCCUGUGUUUUGUUUGACAGCGCUUUGAACCACUGCUCAUCGUGAACACCGGCAACGAAGAGCGCUUGCACCGAAUCAGGGAUGAAAUAGGUUUCGAACCACACAGUGACACACUAAUUCGCGAUCACACGCUUCGUACCGAGGAUUACAGCAGUGAUCCGCCACCGCCUGAUUGGCCGGACUUCCGUGAGGAUGACAACGAUCAUGCGUGCGACAGUGGGCUUUGUGGAGCAAUGCCGACAGCCCUUGAACAAGUGUGCUGUCGCGACAUACCACCAGUUGUUCGCGGAAGUCUCGACUGCUGCAAAACUCGGCACGAAGAGUUCCGAAGCGUAGGUCUGAGCUUCGCGGUGCUGCGUGCUCAUUAUUGUGAGCUGAAAGAGAAUGGCAUCGUGGUUCAAGGAGAACUGCACAGGUAUUACAGUAAUGAAUAAAAAACAUUUUGAAGUUGCAGUUCCAGCAACGGCAUCCUA